rnacentral:lncRNA from 1 species
UCUGAAUGCAUCUUUUUCUCCCCCUGUAGCAUGAAGAGCAGUUCGCGGUAUCCGGUAGAUAGGAAGCACAAAUAGAAACGAAAAUGGACGGCCAUAUGUCACAAGAGAAUGAAAUCUUUGCUCCCAAUCCCUGUCUUCAGAGCUGACCUAGAAGCCAGCCACUCCACUCAGACCCAAUUCGGAUCACUAUGUUCGUGAGGACUUUAACAGCAUCAGACUAACUCUGGACUGUACAUGAACACCAGCAAUGAAGAGGAAGGAAACUUUGAAAAAUGUUAUACACUGGAGGAUUGGCUUUACUGUGGCUAUCUUUUAUGUCAACCCUGAAAUCUGUCUUUAUUAUUAAAAGAAGUUUAAUUUCAAAGGAUGGCUCCCCUUUAAAAUGGUUCUUGGGUGUUGACACUGGAUGCAGAAGCAGAACUUACACAGUCUGAACAAACGGGUGGUUAGAAAAGAUUGUUUCAAGCCUCUGUGUUCCUAAGAUCAUGGCUAAAUUUCCCAAAUUCUGAAUUGAGGUGAAAGGUCAGAGAAAGAGUUCAUUUGGAAUGGGAUCUAGAGGUGUCCCUAAGGAAAGAAAGGUUGGCUGGAUCUGGUGAUUUAGGAGAAAUCCAGUCUGCUCUCACCUGCUGCCAUCUGCCAUCUGCUUCUGCUCCAUCUUCCCAGUCUCAGGGGAUCCCC